ACCGAGCAGCCAAAGAGUGUUAUCCCAAAGCAGCGGAAUUGUCAAAUUGACGAGAAAGUCCGGACAGUAUCCGUGAGGACGAAAAGCUUGAGAGGGUCACGGUAGACCGUCGGUGCCAUAAUGUGAAGCACCAAAUCCCAACUCAAAAGAACAAAAAGAGCCUUCUUGUCCUGAGCCGAAAGUGGAGCGCCAUGUCCCAAUAUCUUUCUCGACCUAUUCUCAAACUUUAAAUCUGUAAGACCUGCAGGUUUCUUAAUUGAACUUGUGGAUGUGAAUAUCAAGUUGUUAGUGGGCCAUACGGGGUAAGCUCGUCUGGCGAUGCGGGAUGAACCGAACGCAAAGUUAAAGUGCCAAAAUACUCGCUCACCUAGAUACCAUAAAAGGUGUUGGUUCAUAUAGACAGCAGGACGGUGGCCAUGGAAGUCGGAAUCCGCUAAGGAGUGUGUAACAACUCACCUGCCGAAUGAACUAGCCCUGAAAAUGGAUGGCGCUAAAGCGGGUUACUUAUACUUUGCCGUUAGCGCGAUAACAUGAGUAGUGUAAGCGUUAAUGAGUAGGAGGGCGUGUGGGUCGUUAAGAAGCUUGUGACGUAAGUCUGAGUGAAACGGCCUUCAGUGCAGAUCUUGGUGGUAGUAGCAAAUAUUCAAAUGUGAACUUUGAAGACUGAAGUGGAGAAAGGUUCCGUGUGAUCAGUAAUUGGACACGGGUGAGUCGAUCCUAAGAGAUAGGAAAAUUCCGAUUGAAAGUAGAGCAGUUUGAGGCGCGGGUUUACUCGUGUUUUAUUUCAGCUUCGAAUAUCGAAAGGGAAUCAGGUUAAUAUUCCUGAACCGAGACGUGGAUAAUAUGUGGUAACACAACCGAACCAGGAGACGCUAAUCCAC
rnacentral:ncRNA from 1 species